rnacentral:rRNA from 1 species
UACGAAGGGGGCGAGCGUUGUUCGGAUUUACUGGGCGUAAAGAGCUCGUAGGUGGUUUGUCGCGUUGUUCGUGAAAACUCACAGCUCAACUGUGGGCGUGCGGGCGAUACGGGCAGACUGAGUACUGCAGGGGAGACUGGAAUUCCUGGUGUAGCGGUGGAAUGCGCAGAUAUCAGGAGGAACACCGGUGGCGAAGGCGGGGUCUCUGGGCAGUAACUGACGCUGAGGAGCGAAAGCGUGGGGAGCGAACAGG